GUCUACGGCCAUACCACUCUGAACGUGCCCAACUACAUCUGAUCUUGGAAGCUGAGCAGGGUCGGGCCUGGUAGUACUUGGAUGCAGAAAAACCCCGAAGUUAAAGGUA
rnacentral:rRNA from 1 species